rnacentral:rRNA from 1 species
GCGAGUGAACCGGGAAAAGCUCAAAUUUGAAAUCUGGCUGUCUUCGAUAGUCCGAGUUGUAAUCUAUAGAAGUGUUUUCCGUGCUGAACUGUGUCUAAGUCCCUUGGAACAGGGUAUCAAAGAGGGUGACAAUCCCGUACUUGACACAAUCAUCAGUGCUCUGUGAUACAUUCUCUACGAGUCGAGUUGUUUGGGAAUGCAGCUCAAAAUGGGUGGUAAAUUCCAUCUAAAGCUAAAUAUUGGCGAGAGACCGAUAGCGAACAAGUACCGUGAGGGAAAGAUGAAAAGCACUUUGGAAAGAGAGUUAAACAGUACGUGAAAUUGUUGAAAGGGAAACGAUUGAAGUCAGUCGUGUUCAUUGGAUUCAGCUAGUUCUUCUAGUCUACUUCCUUUGAACGGGUCAACAUCAGUUUUGUCCGGUGGAUAAAGGCAGUAGGAAUGUGGCUUCUUCGGAAGUGUUAUAGCCUAUUGUCACAUACACUGGAGGAGACUGAGGACUGCAGCUCGCCUUUUGGCCGGGGUUCGCCCACGUUCGAGCUUAGGAUGUUGACAUAAUGGCUUUAAACGACCC